ACAAUUAUUAUUAUUAUUAUUAUUUUCCCUGUGGUGUUUUCAGGUUUUAGUAAAAGUUGUUCAAGGUGUAAGUUUCAGUAGAUGCUUGUCAAAUGUUUAUUUGUCAUUGUUGUUAUUGUUUUCAUUUCCAGGUUCAAUAUAUUCAUUUAUCUGCUUUGCCCCAGCUACCGCUAUUCUUGGGAAACCAAAAGAGCUACCAAAGGAUGGUAUCAACUCUUUCAAUCAUUUUCUGCUGCGUCCGGUGAAGUAAAUGUUGCAUCUAACUUAAAGAAAUGUUGCAUCUUGUUGAAGACCUAAAGAAUGCAGUGGCUUGAUGAUUCUGUAUUGUUGUUGUUGUUUCCUUGCUUCUGGUCGUGUUGCUUUUUCUUUUUUCUUUUUUGCUUUUUUGGUAAACUGAGUUGCUUCUUUUAUCAUAUUGUAUUUUCUGCUGCUGCUUUUGUACGUGUCAUAUAUAAAAGCUCAGUGGUAAAUUGACUGGUUUAUGCUGAUGCUACUGUUGUUGCUUCUUCGACUUUCUAGACUUUCUGUGCAGCUAUUGCUAUCUCCUCAUGGUCUUUAUGUUGUAUCUGUUGUACAUAUGUUCAUGUCAGAUGUAAACAAGGCCUAGAUUGGCUAAAUGGUAUUGUCCUUAUCUUUUGCUUGCUUUAGACAAUUCCCAUCUUUGUUUGUAUUGCCCAUGUAUGCCCCUUGUACUAUGUAUUUACUUUUGAUCUUUGGUUUAUAUUGACUUUCCAAAAAAAUGAAGUUUUGUUCAUCAAAUAAUCUGAGUGUUGAAAUUUGAUUCGUUUUGGUUGGCUUUAGUUACACUCAGCAGCUUUUCACAUUUUGCAGCAAUGAUUGCUAGAUGUCCUUUUUAGGUUAUUCAACGGAGUUUUUCCGAGAGAGAGAGAGAGAGUGAGUGAAGGAGCAAACUAAAGAUUGAAGUAUCUAAGACUUACAAGUUCUGCUGAGGUCAUGUACACCUGGAGAAUUUUUUUUUCUAAAAGAGAUGGGUGAGAAGAUUUCACCUUCUAAACUCAAUCAUAUGAACAAAGUUACUGCAUAAAUUAGUAAUUUUGUGCCUGAAAUGGCAAAGGAAAGUACAUAAUACUUUAUAAUCUCUCAACAACCUCUUCAGCCCUGCCUACCAUAAGUUUAAUGCGAGUCUUUUUGUCAAAACAAAUCAAGCCAAAAAACAUUGAAUAUUAACCCUGUGACUAAAAUUACAGUGAGCAUAAUCUCAUAUGAUGAAAGAUUCAUUACAUAGAUUUAUGGUUCUGGGUAGUUCUAAUCUAAAAAUUAAGAAUGAAGCUCUCAUGAUUAAGUGGUGGUAGAGGUUUGCAUCUGAGUCAAAUCCCCUUCGGAAAAGAGUGAUUUUUGUAAAGUAUAAUUGGACAACAAGAGAUGGGAUAUUUCAUAAUUUCAUUGCUUAAAGGAUAAUGCAGUUUUUUUUUUUUUUUUUUCUUCUUCUGAACAUGCCUCCAUUAUUGUGCUACUGAAAUUGGGGAAAUGGAAUGAGAUUUCUCUUUUUGUUUGAUAAAUGGGUGUCUGAUGUAACAAAGAUGGUCUCAUUAAUGAUUUCAUAACAUGUGUACCUCACAUAGGAAGACUUUGUUUGUAUGGGACGAGAAGGAGGAAUGCCAUCAUAGGUUAUUGAAAAUGCUGCCACAGAUUGAUCAGCUUAAUGCCAAUCAAUGGAUCAAUUAAUUUGGAGGGGUGAUCCAUCAGUUGCUGAUUUAAUCUUAAAGAUGAAAGAAGUCAAAGACCUACACUUCCCUUUAAAAGUGGUGUAAAUGGUGAUUCAGCUUUGGAUGAUGAAAGGGACUGAUUCAACUUGGAAGAUGGAUGAGUUCAUGUGGCAGGAUUGCAUUCUUGGUCAUUGUUCUGCCUCAGUUUGGCUGGUGUAGGUAGUUGAGUCCUCAUUGUUCAUGUUUUUCAGCUUUGUUAUCCUAGUUGGUGUCUUGCUGUCUGCUUUUUUUUUUUUUGGAGUGGAUCCUAGCAUUAUGAAAAGUUGUCUAGUUGCUGCUACAAUCUUGGUCAUUGUUCUGCAUCCGUCUUAGUAGGUGUUUUAGGGGUUGUUGGCCUUUGGCUUAAGCAUAUGAUUGGCUUAGUAGCAUGAGUCACCUAGUUGGGAUUUUUAUUUAUUUAUUUUUUUUUGUAAUGAUGCUCUCUUAAAAAAAG